GUAUUUGUUUUUAAAGGCACAAGGCCAAUGACGACAUUCAAAAUACAUUCAUGUGGGGUAUGUAGAAACAUAGACCUGAAUACAAGAAGAGCUGGCCUUUUAUUGCACAGCAAUUCUCAAACCGAGUUGCCUCGAGAGUAUCAGAUCUACGCAAGGUGCACAGGUGGUUAAAAAUGGAGUCGGCGUGCACAUGCUCCUAAGAGCCAGCAACAACCUAACCAAGUUUAUUCAAUAAUGAUCCUUCCGCAGGUUCACCUACGGAAA
rnacentral:misc_RNA from 1 species